GUAGGGUGCAAGCGUUAAUCGGAAUUACUGGGCGUAAAGCGUGCGCAGGCGGCUUUGCAAGACAGAUGUGAAAUCCCCGGGCUUAACCUGGGAACUGCAUUUGUGACUGCAUGGCUAGAGUGCGGCAGAGGGGGAUGGAAUUCCGCGUGUAGCAGUGAAAUGCGUAGAUAUGCGGAGGAACACCGAUGGCGAAGGCAAUCCCCUGGGCCUGCACUGACGCUCAUGCACGAAAGCGUGGGGAGCAAACAGGAUUAGAUACCCUGGUAGUCCACGCCCUAAACGAUGUCAACUGGUUGUUGGACGGCUUGCUGUUCAGUAACGAAGCUAACGCGUGAAGUUGACCGCCUGGGGAGUACGGCCGCAAGGUUGAA
rnacentral:rRNA from 1 species